rnacentral:rRNA from 1 species
UACGUAGGUGGCAAGCGUUGUCCGGAUUUACUGGGCGUAAAGAGCGCGCAGGCGGCUGGUCAAGUCCGAUGUGAAAUCUCCCGGCUUAACUGGGAAACUGCAUCGGAAACUGAUCGGCUUGAAGGUGGGAGAGGGUAGUGGAAUUCCCGGUGUAGUGGUGAAAUGCGUAGAUAUCGGAAGGAACAUCGGUGGCGAAAGCGGCGCGCUGGACCUCUUCUGACGCUGAGGCGCGGAAAGCCAGGGGAGCGAACGGG